UACCUUCUCCCCACCCUGCUCCCCAAU
rnacentral:piRNA from 1 species